rnacentral:rRNA from 1 species
AAUAGAUACCCUGGUAGUCCACGCCGUAAACGUUGGGCGCUAGAUGUGGGGACCUUUCCACGGUUUCCGUGUCGUAGCUAACGCAUUAAGCGCCCCGCCUGGGGAGUACGGCCGCAAGGCUAAAACUCAAAGGAAUUGACGGGGGCCCGCACAAGCGGCGGAGCAUGCGGAUUAAUUCGAUGCAACGCGAAGAACCUUACCAAGGCUUGACAUAUACGAGAACGCUGCAGAAAUGUAGAACUCUUUGGACACUCGUAUACAGGUGGUGCAUGGUUGUCGUCAGCUCGUGUCGUGAGAUGUUGGGUUAAGUCCCGCAACGAGCGCAACCCUCGUCGCAUGUUGCCAGCACGUUAUGGUGGGAACUCAUGUGAGACUGCCGGGGUCAACUCGGAGGAAGGUGGGGAUGACGUCAAAUCAUCAUGCCCCUUAUGUCUUGGGCUUCACGCAUGCUACAAUGGCCGGUACAAAGGGCUGCGAUGUCGUAAGGCGGAGCGAAUCCCAAAAAGCCGGUCUCAGUUCGGAUUG